GACGAACGCUGGCGGCGCGCUUAACACAUGCAAGUCGAACGGAAAGGCCCUGCUUUUGUGGGGUGCUCGAGUGGCGAACGGGUGAGUCACACGUGUGUAACCUGCCCUUGACUUUGGGAACACGUCAAGAAACUGGGGCUACUACGGGAUAUGAGCUCCUGCUGCGUGGUGGGGGUUGGAUAGUUUCGGCGGUUGGGGAUGGAGUGGGGGCUUAUCAGCUUGCUGGUGGGGUAGUGGCUUAGCAAGGCUGUGACGGGUAGCCGGCCUGAGAGGGUGACCGGCCACAUUGGGACUGCGAUACGGCCCAGAAUCCUACGGGAGGCAGCAGUGGGGAAUAUUGCACAAUGGGCGGAAGGCUGAGGCAGCAACGCCGCGUGCGGGAUGAUGGCCUUCGGGUGGUAAACCGCUUUCGCCUGUGACGAAGCGUGAGUGACGGUAAUGGGUAAAGAAGCACCGGCUAACUACGUG
rnacentral:rRNA from 1 species